CUCUCACUCGACUCACUGACUACUCUGCAGCAGCAACAACCACAUAUUGUCUGAGCAUCACAAUGGCAACAUGCAGUCCAUACAGCCGUCCGGAGCCACUGAAAUGUAAAUGCGUUGCCACACGUGUCACAAGAAAGGCAGUAGCCUAUGUAAAGUGUGGAGACAAAAUUGAAGUAGAGCAACACAGAUUUACGGCAUUCAGUGUUGUAACAGAUGGAAAUAACACUUACAUUUCAUCGAAGAAUGGUGAGACCCCAGAAUUUGAAGAAGGGGCCAGCUACGUGGUGAAAAACCACACCAUAUCUAGCAAGUAUGGAAAGCCAAGUAUAUUUGUAAAAUCAGCCACAAGCAAAUUUAAAACAUCCCAACUGAGUCUUACUGAAGAUCAGGAGAGAAGGGCCAGAGAGAUCCUUGUUCCACAUUCCCCUCUGGUCUCCGUGGACAAAGUGGACCCUUCAGAAGAUGGGUACGUCAGUCUCCUGGGAGAGAUAGAGGAAUUGCAGGAGGUGAGGAUGGCACAGGUGCAAUUUGGUAAAGUGCCCGUCCUGGACUUUAAGCUAAACUGCAACUCAAGAGCAGUUGAGGUUUCUCUGUGGAGAGAUGAGGCUCUUAUCGAGGUGUUAAAUGGAGACACUGUGGAGCUGACCCACCUCCGCCCAAACACUAAACCGAAUGGAAACAUUAAAUUCAAUUCUUCCACAUACACCACCGUAAAGGUUUCAGAAAGGCGGCUCAUUGAGGAGACGGUGGAGGUGAUCGGAGUGUCUUCCGGAAUGGGCGUGAUCGUGCUUCUGGGGGUCGAUUAUGAGGAGUACAUUGUCCCAGACACAAUGUAUUCAGGAGACGUUGAGGACCU
ensembl:lncRNA